UACGUAGGGUCCGAGCGUUGUCCGGAAUUAUUGGGCGUAAAGAGCUCGUAGGCGGUUUGUCGCGUCUGCUGUGAAAUCCCGAGGCUCAACCUCGGGUCUGCAGUGGGUACGGGCAGACUGGAGUGCGGUAGGGGAGAAUGGAAUUCCUGGUGUAGCGGUGGAAUGCGCAGAUAUCAGGAGGAACACCGAUGGCGAAGGCGGGUCUCUGGGCCGAUACUGACGCUGAGGCACGAAAGCGUGGGGAGCAAACAGG
rnacentral:rRNA from 1 species